GAGCCCGUAGCUCAGUUGGAUAGAGCGAGAGCCUUCUAAGCUCUAGGUCAGAGGUUCAAACCCUCUCGGGCUCACCA
rnacentral:tRNA from 1 species